GUCUGGCUUUUAGGUGGUGUCUGGAGAUCCAAACGCCUAUCUUCAUGCUGCUUCAGAAAAUGCUCACCUGUUGAGCUAUCUCCCCUGCCCUUGAAGACAUUUCAAGAUGCCAUUUAUGAAGGGCAGUUGAUCCUCUGUGUCUGUACAUAAAGGAAGAUGCUGUGGUCGAGCAGGGCAUGCAGAGAUGAAGAUACCACUUCAAGUUCACAUAGUUC
rnacentral:lncRNA from 1 species